rnacentral:lncRNA from 1 species
ACCUGCUUGGUUGUCCCAAGGAGGGCGGGUGAGAGCGGUUCUGAGGCCGUCCUUCCCUCCAGCCUGGCUCCACAGGCGGCGUUCCGACCUUGGAGAACCUGCCGGGGUCUGCAGUGGGGUGCGGGGCGGUGGCGGCGGGCUGAGGCGGUGCGCGGCGGCACGCACCUUCCCACCUGGCACCGCCCACAGGCCGCCCCGCGCGGGCCCGCCGCGCUGACAAGUGCGCGCGCGCGCCCUCCGCGCCGGCCCGUGGCGCAUGCGCGCUCCGCGCUGUCUUCUCAGCCAGAGCGGCGGCGGCGUUUGAGUGGAGGAAGAUGGCGGCUCCGGGUUGCUCGGUGUCCCGCCAGCUGUGAGGAGUCCCGAGUGCGGCGGGCGCGGCCUGCGGCGCAGCGCCUCUGCUCGCGUCCUGACCCGGGUUCCCUCACCGCCUUCGCCAGCGGAGCGUACCCGAGAACGUGGCGCGGGCUAGGCCAGGUGUCAAGUGGGAUGUCAUGGCCAGCUCCUCAGACAGCGAAGAUGACAGUUUCAUGGCUGUGGACCAAGAGGAGACCGUGCUGGAAGGGACAAUGGAGCAAGACGAGGAGCCCCGCGCGGCGCUGGAGGUUGUGGAGAUGCAACAUAACAGGUCCAUGUCUGAGCUGCCAGAAGAGGUUUUGGAGUAUAUCCUGUCCUUCCUCUCCCCGUACCAGGAGCACAAAACUGCAGCCCUCGUCUGCAAGCAGUGGUAUCGACUGAUUAAAGGUACUGUGGAAAGUGCAAAGGUUUAUUCACGUAUUUAAGAUUUCUUUGAAUGAUUUCUAAUCUCUCAGUUUCCUUCUCUCUUUUCUCCUUUCCGUUUAUUGUGGUUCUGAAACUUAGCAUUAGACAGUUCGCUCUGUACAUUUUUCUUUCUCUCUAUCCUGCCUAGCGUUAUGAACAACUUGAAUACUGUAGGUUUGAAUCCAAUUUGCAGUUUUAAAAUGAGGAUUCUUCAUAUUCUUGGAGUUGAUCCAGUUUGAGUCUACUUUUCUGUAUGGUGUUAAGGAGUUUUCUGAUUUCGUGUUUUUACAUAUGGCUGUCCAGUCUUCCCAGCACCACUCUGUCACAGAUAGUUGACCAGAGGUGCCUGAGCCUCCUGCCCUGCUCCAUCGGUCUGCAUUUCUGGUCUGGGGCCAGUGCCAUACCGCUCUGAUUGCUGCAGCUUUGUAGCAUGGAGAGUGGUCAGGAGCCUGAUUGGUCCAGCUCCGUUUUCUUUCUCAAGAUUGCUUUGGCUGUUCUUUUAUGUCUUUUAGGAUCUUUUGUGUCUCUAUACAGAAUUAAAGAAUUUUUUUCUAGUUUUGUGAAAAAUGUCAUGGGUGACAUGAUAGGGAUUGCAUCGAACGUGUAGAUUGCCUUGGGUAGUAUAGUCAUUUUGGUACGUAACUGUACUCUUUGGCCUAAGAGUUAGGGCUGGAAGUGGAAAGGCCUUCCUCUAGCAAGUUACGCACAUGGAACAGAGUUCGCUCACAGUAGAGCAGAGGUGGCCGUCCAGGAUCUUUUAUUUAACACAGUUUAUAGUAAACCCGUCACAGUUCCUGCCUGCUUCCGAGGAAUGGCGGGAUUGCUGCU